rnacentral:rRNA from 1 species
AAACCAGCACCUCAAGUGGUCAGGAGGAUUAUUGGGCCUAAAGCAUCCGUAGCCUGUUCUGUAAGUUUCCGGUUAAAUCCAUUAGCUCAACUAAUGGGCUGCCGAAAAUACUGUAGAACUAGGGAGUGGGAGAGGUAGACGGUAUUCGGCAGGAAGGGGUAAAAUCCUUUGAUCUAUUGAGGACCACCUGUGGCGAAGGCGGUCUACCAGAACACGUUCGACGGUGAGGGAUGAAAGCUGGGGGAGCAAACCGGAUUAGAAACCCCGGUAGUCC